rnacentral:lncRNA from 12 species
AUGUUAGUUUCUAAGACUCUGCGGGGCAGUCCUGGAACCGAGGAACUGGGAGGUGACCUGGAACGCAGGAACCACCUUCCUCAUGGGGAGGAAGGCCCGCCUCCUCCUCCUCCUCCCUCCCCUCCCCCCGCGAUGCUGGGAGGACCCCAGCGCUCAGCGCUCCAUCGCGGCUCCCAGAACACCCUCCUUUCCUUUCCAUCUUCACCGUUUCCUUGGAAGUGCACCUCCCCAUCUGCCCCCCCCAUGUGCGCGCCAGCAGCCCAACACCUGCCCGGCGGCCCCGCGGAGGGCGUCCUUGUGCCCCGGGGCACCACGGCCGGAGGUCACCGCAGCCCCGAGGGCACCGCGGCCCGAGGUCACCGCAGCCCGAGGUCACCGCAGCCCCGAGGGCACCGCGGCCCGAGGUCACCGCGGCCCGAGGUCACCGCAGCCCCGAGGUCACCGCAGCCCGAGGUCACCGCGGCCCGAGGUCACCGCGGCCCGAGGUCACCGCAGCCCGAGGUCACCGCAGCCCCGAGGGCACCGCGGCCCGAGGUCACCGCGGCCCGAGGUCACCGCAGCCCCGAGGUCACCGCGGCCCGAGGUCACCGCGGCCCGAGGUCACCGCAGCCCCGAGGUCACCGCAGCCCCGAGGUCACCGCAGCCCGAGCCCGAGGUCACCGCAGCCCGAGGUCACCGCGGCCCGAGGUCACCGCAGCCCCGAGGUCACCGCGGCCCGAGGUCACCGCGGCCCGAGGUCACCGCAGCCCCGAGGUCACCGCAGCCCCGAGGUCACCGCAGCCCGAGCCCGAGGUCACCGCAGCCCGAGGUCACCGCGGCCCGAGGUCACCGCAGCCCCGAGGUCACCGCAGCCCGAGGUCACCGCAGCCCCGAGGGCACAAAAGCCCGAGGUCUCCGCAGCCCGAGCCCGAGGUCACCGAACGCCGAGGGCGCCGCAGCCCCGAGGACACCGCGG